GCGUCGGUGCUUCAGUGGUAGAAUACUCGCCUGCCACGCGGGUGACCCGGGUUCAAUUCCCGGCUGAGGCA
rnacentral:tRNA from 1 species